rnacentral:rRNA from 1 species
UGGGGAAUUUUGGACAAUGGGGGCAACCCUGAUCCAGCAAUGCCGCGUGAGUGAAGAAGGCCUUCGGGUUGUAAAGCUCUUUUGUCAGGGAAGAAACGGUAGUAGCGAAUAACUAUUACUAAUGACGGUACCUGAAGAAUAAGCACCGGCUAACUACGUGCCAGCAGCCGCGGUAAUACGUAGGGUGCAAGCGUUAAUCGGAAUUACUGGGCGUAAAGCGUGCGCAGGCGGUUGUGUAAGUCAGAUGUGAAAUCCCCGGGCUCAACCUGGGAAUUGCAUUUGAGACUGCACGGCUAGAGUGUGUCAGAGGGGGGUAGAAUUCCACGUGUAGCAGUGAAAUGCGUAGAUAUGUGGAGGAAUACCGAUGGCGAAGGCAGCCCCCUGGGAUAACACUGACGCUCAUGCACGAAAGCGUGGGGAGCAAACAGGAUUAGAUACCCCCGUAGUCCCUGAGCGGGCUGGCAAGGCGCAU